rnacentral:rRNA from 1 species
UACGAAGGGGGCUAGCGUUGCUCGGAAUCACUGGGCGUAAAGCGCACGUAGGCGGAUUGUUAAGUCAGGGGUGAAAUCCUGGAGCUCAACUCCAGAACUGCCUUUGAUACUGGCGAUCUCGAGUCCGGGAGAGGUGAGUGGAACUGCGAGUGUAGAGGUGAAAUUCGUAGAUAUUCGCAAGAACACCAGUGGCGAAGGCGGCUCACUGGCCCGGCACUGACGCUGAGGUGCGAAAGCGUGGGGAGCAAACAGG